CCGGGUGACCACGCCCCUCGACCCCGAGCCUGCCUCAGGCCGCAGUUGUUUCCCGCCCUGUGUUCCUCUGGUUAAAUAUUAUCGAUCUUUCCUGGUUCACCCACCGCGAAUACCGUGAGAGCAAGGGGAGGGGAGAAAAGGCGGGAAAAACAAAAACACACACACCUCCUCAGCACACAGCUCUGCUCUCUCUAGACCCCGCCCCUAAAGGGAAGGAGCGGGCAGCAGGCAAGGCUGACGCGUCCGGCGCCAUCUUUCAAGUGGGCGGAACGAGUCGCGGCUGAUGCGCCCCAUUUCCUCGUGGGACACCGUAGGAAUGUAUUGUGUGCUGCUUCAGAGCUGGAGCUGAGGACUUGUUGAUUACCUCCCAUUUACCAAAUUACAGCAAAUUAGAUUGAACUGUGACUGGCAUGUGAACGAUCUGAUGUUGGACAUGGAUGAGGAAUAUUGCUCUAUAAACCACAGCAUGCCAUGCACAUUUGCUACUGAAAUCAGUGACCUCAAAUGCCUGUGGUGUUAUCAACACACGGUGGGCCCUCGUGUGAUGGAGGAAAGUGCACUGGAUUUGAAAUCAGAAUAUUUGGCUCAGGGCCUGGUGCUCUGCCACCUCUAUGCAGAUUUCAUACCGGGCAGGUCCUUCCUUUGAAAUCCAGGGCCUCAUUCAGUCCUGACGGUGACCCUCUGAGCUAGCUAUCACCACUCCCACAGUAUAGCUGGAAGCCAAGGUUUAGCAGCGUAAAACAAUGACACAUGGCUGCAAAUGGUAGACUUUAGGAGGCGCAGCAUUCCUGAUCUCAAACAUUUGCUUUUCUCAUUGUCCCAGGCUGUUCUCAUUACCCGUGUUUCGUUGGAUGGGUACUCAACCUCACUGAGUCUUACUCUGUCCCUUCUAGAUUAUAGAUAAUUAUAUCUAUCCCACAGGGCUUUUGUGAAGAUCAGAUGAGAUAAUUUAAAUGGAAUGUGCUAUUUAAAGUGGAAUAGAAGUGUUAGGAAUUAUGAAUAUGCUAAUGAAAAGAUGACUAGUGUAAUGUUUACUUACAUGGUUCCUAUUGACUCCUGAAAAGUUUGAGACUUAAUUUUCAGUUCCUAUUUUAUAAGUUUUCAUUUUAUGUUUUCUUUUUUAAAAAAAAUUUUCCCUCUAAUCAGUCUCAAGGAAAUGAGAUGCAAAAAGUUGAAUAAUUAAAUAUUAAGGUAUUGGAUUCAAGCCAAGCAAGAAGUUUGAGUUCUUUUAAUGCAAGUUUCUCAAUCUUGUCACUCUUGACAUUUUGGGGUGGGGUAAUUCUCUGUUGUGGGGGGCUGGCCUGUAUAUUGUAGGAUGUUUGUCAGCAUUUCUGGCCUCUGCUCACUAGAUGCCAGUGGCACCCCCCCACCCCGAUACCAU
rnacentral:lncRNA from 1 species